CACAAAGUAUCAGGACUGCUUUCUAAUUACUGACAGAUUUCAGCAGGGGUCAUGACUUUUUGUGCCUUUUUGCACCUUCCUUUCUUCAUAUGUUCAACACCUUUUCUCUCUGUCAUUUCUUCUAUUUACACAUAACUUAAUUCAUGGACAUUUAACGUGUGAUUUCUUUGCAUGUGUGGAUUGGAUGGGUUGUUACCAACAUCUGGAACCAUCACAACCAUGUUAGAAAAUGGUCC